AUUGAACGCUGGCGGAAUGCUUUACACAUGCAAGUCGAGCGGCAGCGCGGGGGCAACCUGGCGGCGAGCGGCGAACGGGUGAGUAAUGCAUCGGAACGUACCCCGUCGUGGGGGAUAACUACCCGAAAGGGUAGCUAAUACCGCAUACGACCUGAGGGUGAAAGCGGGGGACCGAAAGGCCUCGCGCGAUGGGAGCGGCCGAUGCCGGAUUAGCUAGUUGGUAGGGUAAAGGCCUACCAAGGCGACGAUCCGUAGCUGGUCUGAGAGGACGACCAGCCACACUGGAACUGAGACACGGUCCAGACUCCUACGGGAGGCAGCAGUGGGGAAUUUUGGACAAUGGGCGAAAGCCUGAUCCAGCCAUUCCGCGUGAGUGAAGAAGGCCUCGG
rnacentral:rRNA from 1 species